rnacentral:rRNA from 1 species
CUUGCGGCCACAUCAUGUUGAAACAUUGGUUCCCGUAGGAUCACUGAAGUUAAGCAACGUCGAGCCUGGUCAGUACCUAGAGGGAUGACCGCUUGUGAAUACUAUUUGCUGUAAG